GCAUUGGUGGUUCAGUGGUAGAAUUCUCACCUUCCAUGAGGGAGAUCCAGGUUCGAUUCCCGGCCAAUACA
rnacentral:tRNA from 1 species